GCUGGUAGCUUCGAGAACACUGUCCCACCAUCUCGUCCUCUGUCGUCCCCUUCUCCUUGUGCCCUCCAUCUUUCCCAACAUCAGGGUCUUCUCCAGGGAGUCUUCUCUUCUCAUGAGGUGGCCAAAGUAUUGGAGCCUCAGCUUCAGGAUCUGUCCUUCCAGUGAGCACUCAGGGCUGAUUUCCUUCAGAAUGGAGAGGUUUGAUCUUCUUGCAGUCCAUGGGACUCUCAAGAGUCUCCUCCAGCACCAGAAUUCAAAAGC
rnacentral:lncRNA from 1 species